rnacentral:rRNA from 1 species
GACAGAGGGUGCAAACGUUGUUCGGAAUUACUGGGCGUAAAGCGAGUGUAGGCGGUUCGAUAAGUCGGAUGUGAAAGCCCCGGGCUCAACCCGGGAAGUGCACUCGAUACUGUCGAGCUAGAGUAUCGGAGAGGUUGGUGGAAUUCUCGGUGUAGAGGUGAAAUUCGUAGAUAUCGAGAGGAACACCGGUGGCGAAGGCGGCGAUCUGGACGAUGACUGACGCUGAGACGCGAAAGCGUGGGGAGCAAACAGG